GUUAUCUUCAGUGCUUUUCAGUUUUCACCGACCCGCUGAUGAGACCUCUCACUCUUGAGUCUCUCUUUAUUUGCUCAACCCUUUCUCAUCUUCCACACCCCAAUACCCUCAAAGAGAAGAAGAGCCUUCAUAUGAAGGAAGGUAAAGCCUUUUCAACGCUCGAAAAGGAUUGGGCAAUAAAGAGCAAAGACUGAUGGUUCAAGUGUUGGAGGGGGUGGAAUAAAGAAUGUUUACUCCUAAGCCAACGUGUUAGUGGAAGUUUGAAGAGAACACGUAUAUUUUGGAAUGGAAGGAUUUCGAAAGAAGGUGAUUUUUGUACGCCGUCAAAUACAUGAACAUGUGCUCUAAACUCUGAAGAAGAUGCCUCAAUUGAGGACAGUGGGGAAGAUGCAAAAAAUAUGAAGAUGUCAUCAGAUAAUAAAAGUGACGAAAGUGGUAAUUAUCAAACAGAUUUUGAUAUUAGAACACGGCCAAGGUGCAUAGGAAAAAGUCUUUUUUCUAAGACGAUUGUACCUGUGCAAGGUAUCUUUAA